rnacentral:rRNA from 1 species
UGCAAGUCGAACGAUGAAGCUGGAGCUUGCUCCGGCCGAUUAGUGGCGAACGGGUGAGUAACACGUGAGCAAUCUGCCCUUGACUCUGGGAUAACUGCGGGAAACUGUAGCUAAUACCGGAUACUUUCCUCGCUGGGCAUCCAGCGGGGAAGAAAGAAUUUCGGUCAAGGAUGAGCUCGCGGCCUAUCAGCUAGUUGGUGAGGUAAAGGCUCACCAAGGCGACGACGGGUAGCCGGCCUGAGAGGGUGACCGGCCACACUGGAACUGAGACACGGUCCAGACUCCUACGGGAGGCAGCAGUGGGGAAUAUUGCACAAUGGGCGAAAGCCUGAUGCAGCAACGCCGCGUGAGGGAUGAAGGCCUUCGGGUUGUAAACCUCUUUUAGCAGGGAAGAAGCGAAAGUGACGGUACCUGCAGAAAAAGCACCGGCUAACUACGUGCCAGCAGCCGCGGUAAUACGUAGGGUGCAAGCGUUGUCCGGAAUUAUUGGGCGUAAAGAGCUCGUAGGCGGUUUGUCACGUCUGCUGUGAAAAUCCGAGGCUCAACCUCGGACUUGCAGUGGGUACGGGCAGGCUAGAGUGCGGUAGGGGAGAAGGGAAUUCCUGGUGUAGCGGUGGAAUGCGCAGAUAUCAGGAGGAACACCAAUGGCGAAGGCACUUCUCUGGGCCGUAACUGACGCUGAGGAGCGAAAGCGUGGGGAGCGAACAGGAUUAGAUACCCUGGUAGUCCACGCCGUAAACGGUGGGUGCUAGCUGUGGGCCACAUU